GUCAGUUCCUAUUUACGAAUUAACCUGAGUUAGUAUAAUUGAACGCACCUACAAAACCUAUUAUCUAUGUAGUGUAAGUAUAAAAGGAAUUUUUAUCUGUGGAUCUUCCGGCGAUCUCAUUACUCAUUUUCUCAUUUGUAAUUUUGUUUUCGGUCUUCACGUAGAUGGAUAAGUUGUCGUUUUUGGUGUCCAUUAACGGAGACAACACCUGAAGGUUUGCUGUGAGAUGACAUUCUUGGUUUAGAUGGGGAAACUUACAGAUGCAAUGUUUAUGGCAGUCAGACUUAUUUUUAUUUCCAAAAAUGCUUCUAAUGAGCUGGCCAAAAAUUCAUAUGGUGAUUAAUUUCCAUUAAAACAUAAUAAGUGAACAUGAAAAGGGUAAAUUAAAAGGAG